GUUUCAGAAAUCCCUUAUCAAUACAUGCAUGACAUUUAGAUCUCUUCAAACAAAAGAUGACUCAUCUUAGGUGGUUCGAU